GCCUGGCUAGCUGGUCGGUUAAGCGUCUGACUUCGGCUCAGGUCACGAUCUCAUGGUUCAUGGGUUCAAGCCCCGUGUUGGGCU
rnacentral:tRNA from 1 species